AUUAGAUAAGAAACCAAUGCCCUUCGGGGCUCGUUGGUGAUUCAUAAUAACUUAUCGAAUCGCAUGGCCUUGCGCUGGCGAUGGUUCAUUCAAAUUUCUGCCCUAUCAACUUUCGAUGGUAGGAUAGUGGCCUACCAUGGUGGCAACGGGUAACGGGGAAUUAGGGUUCGAUUCCGGAGAGGGAGCCUGAGAAACGGCUACCACAUCUAAGGAAGGCAGCAGGCGCGCAAAUUACCCAAUCCCGAUACGGGGAGGUAGUGACAAUAAAUACUGAUACAGGGCUCUUUCGGGUCUUGUAAUUGGAAUGAGUACAAUUUAAACACCUUAACGAGGAGCAAUUGGAGGGCAAGUCUGGUGCCAGCAGCCGCGGUAAUUCCAGCUCCAAUAGCGUAUAUUAAAGUUGUUGCAGUUAAAAAGCUCGUAGUUGAACCUUGGGUCUGGCUGGCCGGUCCGCCUCACCGCGUGCACUGGUCCGGCUGGAUCUUUCCUUCUGGGGAGCCCCAUGGCCUUUAUUGGC
rnacentral:rRNA from 1 species